rnacentral:rRNA from 1 species
AUACCCUAUUAUUUUUGAGUGUUAAUUUUUUUUUGCUUGAGUAGUAUUAGUCUAUGUUCUUGAAACUUAAAGAAUUUGGCGGUAUCUUAUUCCAUUCAGAGGAACCUGUCUCGUUAUCGAUAGUCCGCGUUGGACCUUACUUAGGGUUUAUUGGUUUGUAUACCGCCGUUUAUUGAUUAUCUUUUUAGGGUUGUUUAAUUUUCUUGUUUCUUUAUUUUGAUUUAUUUCAGGUCAAGGUGCAGCUUUUUCUAAGUGGUAUGAUGGGUUACAAUGUUAUUUGUUGUUUGGAUUAUAUGUUUUGAUAUGUGUAUGAAAUUGGAUUUGGUUGUAAUGUUUUGUAGAUUGUUUUCGUGAUAAUUGGUUCUGARAUAUGUACACAUCGCCC